CCUUCCGCGAGAGGCGCUCCGGGAGGAUCAAGGGUGGGGGAACGCUAUUGCCUCAAAUUUAGCCACCAAGGAGGCCAUCGCGUCCUCUGACGCCCCUUUGGGUCCUGUAGUCCCACAGCUCCCGCUCAAACUGACAGGGCUAUACGUGUGAGGAAAAGGACAAAAGCCAGAUGCACUGUUUUCAAUUAACUAGAACCUUGCCCGUACUCCCCAGCGAAAGCCUUCCCUGAUCCUUCCACGUGCAAACCCUCAACACACGAAAAAUUUCAACGCGCACGCGCAGAUCGCCUUCCGCAAGAAUUCAAGCGUAUUUCCUUCCCCCGUUGGUCCAACCUCAUAACUUCCGAUCUCUGUUCCGCGCCCUUCUACGGUAUCCAAGGACGCAUAUACUGAGCCAGCCAUUUUAAGCCUUCGCGGUUCGCGUGGUGCGGCUGGUGCGCGGAGGUAGUGCUAACACGCGGUCGGCACGAAAUUGGACGCGAACCUCUCCGCGAAGAUGGA